ACGAACGCUGGCGGCGUGCUUAACACAUGCAAGUCGAACGGUAAGGCCCUUCGGGGUACACGAGUGGCGAACGGGUGAGUAACACGUGGGUAAUCUGCCCUGCACAUCGGGAUAAGCCUGGGAAACUGGGUCUAAUACCGAAUAGGACCACAGAACACAUGUCCUGUGGUGGAAAGCUUUUGCGGUGUGGGAUGGGCCCGCGGCCUAUCAGCUUGUUGGUGGGGUGAUGGCCUACCAAGGCGACGACGGGUAGCCGGCCUGAGAGGGUGUCCGGCCACACUGGGACUGAGAUACGGCCCAGACUCCUACGGGAGGCAGCAGUGGGGAAUAUUGCACAAUGGGCGAAAGCCUGAUGCAGCGACGCCGCGUGGGGGAUGACGGCCUUCGGGUUGUAAACCUCUUUCACCAUCGACGAAGGUCCGGGUUUUCUCGGAUUGACGGUAGGUGGAGAAGAAGCACCGGCCAACUACGUGCCAGCAGCCGCGGUAAUACGUAGGGUGCGAGCGUUGUCCGGAAUUACUGGGCGUAAAGAGCUCGUAGGUGGUUUGUCGCGUUGUUCGUGAAAUCUCACGGCUUAACUGUGAGCGUGCGGGCGAUACGGGCAGACUUGAGUACUGCAGGGGAGACUGGAAUUCCUGGUGUAGCGGUGGAAUGCGCAGAUAUCAGGAGGAACACCGGUGGCGAAGGCGGGUCUCUGGGCAGUAACUGACGCUGAGGAGCGAAAGCGUGGGGAGCGAACAGGAUUAGAUACCCUGGUAGUCCACGCCGUAAACGGUGGGUACUAGGUGUGGGUUUCCUUCCUUGGGAUCCGUGCCGUAGCUAACGCAUUAAGUACCCCCGCCUGGAGAGUACGGCCGCAAGGCUAAAACUCAAAGAAAUUGACGGGGGCCCGCACAAGCGGCGGAGCAUGUGGAUUAAUUCGAUGCAACGCGAAGAACCUUACCUGGGUUUGACAUGCACAGGACGCCGGCAGAGAUGUCGGUUCCCUUGUGGCCUGUGUGCAGGUGGUGCAUGGCUGUCGUCAGCUCGUGUCGUGAGAUGUUGGGUUAAGUCCCGCAACGAGCGCAACCCUUGUCUCAUGUUGCCAGCGGGUAAUGCCGGGGACUCGUGAGAGACUGCCGGGGUCAACUCGGAGGAAGGUGGGGAUGACGUCAAGUCAUCAUGCCCCUUAUGUCCAGGGCUUCACACAUGCUACAAUGGCCGGUACAAAGGGCUGCGAUGCCGCGAGGUUAAGCGAAUCCUUUUAAAGCCGGUCUCAGUUCGGAUCGGGGUCUGCAACUCGACCCCGUGAAGUCGGAGUCGCUAGUAAUCGCAGAUCAGCAACGCUGCGGUGAAUACGUUCCCGGGCCUUGUACACACCGCCCGUCACGUCAUGAAAGUCGGUAACACCCGAAGCCAGUGGCCUAACCCUUUGGGAGGGAGCUGUCGAAGGUGGGAUCGGCGAUUGGGACG
rnacentral:rRNA from 1 species